rnacentral:rRNA from 1 species
CCCUUAGGCCUUGACAUACUAAGAACUUUCCAGAGAUGGAUUGGUGCCUUCGGGAACUUAGAUACAGGUGCUGCAUGGCUGUCGUCAGCUCGUGUCGUGAGAUGUUGGGUUAAGUCCGCAACGAGCGCAACCUUUUCCUAUUUGCCAGCGGGUCAUGCCGGGAACUUUAAGGAUACUGCCAGUGACAAACUGGAGGAAGGCGGGGACGACGUCAAGUCAUCAUGGCCCUUACGGCCAGGGCUACACACGUGCUACAAUGGUCGGUACAAAGGGUUGCUACCUCGCGAGAGGAUGCUAAUCUCAAAAAGCCGAUCGUAGUCCGGAUCGCAGUCUGCAACUCGACUGCGUGAAGUCGGAAUCGCUAGUAAUCGCGGAUCAGAAUGCCGCGGUGAAUACGUUCCCGGGCCUUGUACACACCGCCCGUCACACCAUGGGAGUUUGUUGCACCAGAAGUAGGUAGUCUAACCGCAAGGAGGACGCUUACCACGGUGUGGCCGAUGACUGGGGUGAAGUCGUAACAAGGUAGGCGUACUACA